AUACAAUUGAGAUUCUCCCAGAGGAUAUCCAGGCUCAAAGCAUCAGUCCACCAGCUGAACAAUCAGUCAGACUGGUGAAUGGGACCACUUCCUGUUCUGGGAAUGUGGAAAUCUUCUACGGAGGAAAGUGGUUACGUCUA